CAGGUACCUACCUACAGGUUUGUCCCACUCAAUUAAUAUACAUUGCCUUGAUGAGUGUUGCAAAUUAAACAAUUGUCAUACCUACCUAACAUAGCUGAAUUGAAUAAAGUCGGAUGAAGCGAUAGCAUCUGUCGCAGGACAAAAGUUCAAUUUUUGAAAGAAUCGACAACAAUACCACGAUCUAUUCAAACAAACCUGAUCAACUUCUGACAACAAGCUUUCUGAUAGAACAUUCACCUUAGCAAAAAGAAUCAAGACACGAUUAACAGAAAGUCUUUUUGAUGCAUGAAAAAAGUACAGACAAACAGAUUCUAUUCAUCUAUCAGUUAUGUAAAGUUUAUGGUGCACAAAGAAGUACUGAAAGAAUUCAUCAAUGAACUAUACAGCUCCAAAUGUUUUUUCCUAAAUACAUUUUGACCAUCAAAGGAUCCAAAGUCAAGGGAUUGAUAACAAAUGCAGCAACAGUUAAAUUAACAACCAAUUCUUUCUACUUAAAACAUUAAGUCUCUUCUCGCUAACAAUGUUGUUGUCAUAGUUGACGGCCAACCUCCGAAACACCCAAUUUGUACAACAAUCACAUUUUGCACAUAACAAUCAACAAUCACAACUCGCUUAUGUUAUAUUUUUGCACACAUCAAAUCAAAACAAAAAUAUUCAAAAUAAAAUCUUUUUAUUUUUAAAAGCACGAUACAUUCGGUGAUUAUUAUAAAUUGACGGCUACCAAGACAAGUAUAACAUAAACACAUAACUUACAUAAUAUUCAAAAAAUAUUACCUCU